UAACUUUCCGUCCUUUGCCAUCUUUGAUCUGUAAAGAAACAGAUCGGACAUUUUAAAAUCUUUUGACCCAAGUCAGCAAGUUUGCCAAUUAAAUCACUCAUUAACUUGAAUUUUUGAAUUUAUAUUCCAAGCAAAUCCUUUAGACUUAUUUAAAAACAUUAGGAUCCUUUCUUUUUAUGCUAAUUUCUGUAGCCAGCUUGAAUGUCUCCUCAAGAAAUAAAACAAAAUUUUAACUGGCAUACAGACAAGGUAUUUUAAGGAAUCCAAUCGCUUGAACUCGGGCAGUGGAAGUUGGCAGUGAGACGAGAUAGCGCCACUGCACUCCAGCCUGGGUGACAGAACAAGCCUCUGUCUCAAAAACAAAAACAAAAACAAAAAACAAAAAACAAAAACCUCCCUAUCCUCUCAUUCUCUUAACUCCCCAAAGAUGCA
rnacentral:lncRNA from 1 species